UGGCUUUUCAAACGUUGAGUUAAAAUGGGCAAAGAGUUGGCCAAAUAAUCAAAAUCUUUUUCGGUUAAAUGAUAGCAGCAGUUUGACACAAUAUGCAACGCCGACCGUUGGGAAGCGAGCGGAAAGAAAUCAAUAAACAUCAAACAACAUUCGAUGCCAUUCGCAUUCAGUAUAUUUUUCCCCAAUCGACGAGAGAGCAAUUCCAGCGCAGUGAGUGCUUGUUCAGCGACGUCGAUACAUUCCACACGUUGCAAUUUUGACAAAAGACAUGGCACUGCAUCCAUCAAAGCACUACCUAUUCUAGGCGACGCUUCCGGGAAACCAAAGUGUUUCGGUUCCGGGGGAAGUAUGGUUGCAAAGCUGAAACUUAAAGGAAUUGACGGAAGGGCACCACCAGGAGUGGAGCCUGCGGCUUAAUUUGACUCAACACGGGAAAACUCACCCGGCCCGGACACUGGAAGGAUUGACAGAUUGACAGCUCUUUCUUGAUUCAGUGGGUAGUGGUGCAUGGCCGUUCUUAGUUGGUGGAGCGAUUUGUCUGGUUAAUUCCGAUAACGAACGAGACUCUACCCUAUUAAAUAGUGACAGUAUUGUAUUUUUUGUGCUGAUCACUUCUUAGAGGGACUGGCAAAUUGAAAGCUGCACGAAAAAGAGCAAUAACAGGUCUGUGAUGCCCUUCGAUGUCCGGGGCUGCACGCGCGCUACAAUGAAAGCGUCAACGUGAGUUACGUCCUUACCUGAAAAGGUUUGGCAAUCGAAUGAAACGUUUUCUUGAAUGGAAUAGGGAAUUGCAAUUGUUUCCCUUGAACGAGGAAUUCCCAGUAAGCGUGAGUCAUUAGCUCGCGUUGAUUACGUCCCUGCCCUUUGUACACACCGCCCGUCGCUACUACCGAUUGGAUGAUUUAGUGAGGUGUUUUGACUGGCGCCAGUAGUCGGAUGUAUUCGGCUUCGCGCCGGGAAAUUUCCCAAACCAAAUCAUCUAGAGGAAGUAAAAGUCGUAACAAGGUUUCCGUAGGUGAACCUGCGGAAG
rnacentral:rRNA from 1 species